rnacentral:lncRNA from 1 species
CUCAUCCCUUGUUCUUCCUUCCUUCAAAACCUUAGAAUUUUGAUCCUACAAAGCUACUGCUAAAAUCCUAGAUAAUUUCUCCUUAUUCGUGGGAUGGAAAUUUACAAAAUCCUUAAAUAAUUUCUCCAACUCUAUGAUCCCACAUAACUCCCCAAAGCGGUCGUUGAAGGUUGAAGUUGAAGAUUUGUGAAGGCAAAUGACAGUUGGAAAAUUAAUGGAUCCUCUAGUCCAUUGUUAUUAUGGUAAUGAGGCUUGUGUUAUAACAUCGUGGACAAAUUUAAAUCAUAGUAGAAAGUUUUUGGAAUGCCAAAAAUACAAGGUAAUAUUGUGUUUGUUUGUCAAAUAUUUCAAAUUUAUCAUUGGUGUUUUUGUAGACAUGUGUUCAAUUUGUUGGUACAAAAGUAUGGAGGUUGUGGAUUCUUCCUGUAGAAUGAUGGUCCCAUGUGUGAUAGAUCAAAGCAAAUAAUCUAUGUAUUGUUGAAUGCUAUGAAAAAGAAGGAAGUUGAACUUGUGGAGAAUCAAAGAAGGGUUAAAUGCAUGUUAUGGUUAGUGAUGAUAUCAUAGACAAUCUGUUUGCUUCUUUUGGUCGUCUCGGUACAAAGAAAAUGUGGUCUUUUGGAUGAAGGCUUCCCAAAGUUACUUGAAAAUUAGAAUGCUCCCAACUUGGUUUUAAUUUUGUGUUUUGUGUAAAUUGUUUGAAUAGUUGAAGGCUCCCUACUGGAGAUUUGAAUUUUGUAUUUUAUGUAAAUCAUUUGAAUAGAUGAGGACUUGUAGUAGGGGCCUUGAUGAAAAGGGGUGGAAUUACUGUGUAAUUUUGUAGUUAAUGGAAUGAACAAAUUGAAUUACAAAUUUGAUUUUGGGUUUUUUAUGCUUUGAUUUUUAAUUCAUGGUGUUUUAAUGACUUAUUUUGGCAAUAUGUAAUAUGCAUUAUGAGCAAAUGUGGUGCUUUGGAAUAAGCAGUUCAUCUCCAGGUUUAAUAUGCAGCUCUCUGAUUUAUUUCCUUGAGCUACAUAAAAAUUUCAAGUGUUCAUAUUGCUAUUAGCUUCCGAAAGGGGCCUUGUUAUUAGCAUCUCAAAUGUUGCCCACUCUGAAGGCAUAAUUUAAAGAGACCUUAGCUUGCAAUUUUGGUUCAUAAGACAUAUAUAACCAAGAGACCAACCUACAUUAGAUAGCCUGCACAAUUGACAUACCAAAAAAAAAAAAAAAAAAAAAGCAACGCUUACACUAGACAUACAUAGAAAACACAAUUGAUAGCUUGUACUAGAGACUAGCCAAUCCCACACAACACAAAAAAUAUAGCUGGCACCAAAUAAAAUAUCAUUCAAUCCCACACAGGAGAAAAAAUAGCUAGCACCAAACAAGGCCAAAUAUUGACAACAAAAAAAGUCUAUGUUAAUUACAUAAUCAGUAUAGGUUGUUCAUCCUAUGUUACUUACAAAAUCAUGUAAUGCAUUUGCAUCCAUAUGACAUAUAACUAUAGCCCAUGUUACUUACAAAAUAAGGCAUAUCAUGAUAAUAUAAAAAAAUGUGUUCCCAUGAUGCCCAACAAGUAUGAACCUGCAAUAGAAAAGUAUCAUUCCCCAAAUAUUAUCCUUCCCACCCAAUCCAACAAUUGUAUACAUUCAUAUAAAAUAUACCAAAAAACUAUCCUAGAAAAAAAAAAAAUUUCUUCCUAAUAGUCCAUAUCACUAUAUAAUGCCUGAGGCUGCAGUUAAUUGUUAAGUGCCCUGUUCUAACUGUGUCUCAUGUGAACCUUUCCCUGAUUUACAAGUUCUUUUGUUAUGACCUUCCUUGCUACAUGCAUUUUGAAACGACCAGCGAGUCUGAAGACUUUUUUCAAGUGGCUGCUAAUUCUUUUUCUAGAAACUGGCUCAUAUUUGUGAUUAUUUUUUUUUUUACUUAUUGAAAAUCUUGUGCGAGUCUUGGAUAUGUUAAGCUUCAUUUUUCAUGCUACUAAAAGAAUGAGAAAAUCUUCUAUACCCAUGAAUAUGCGCCAGAAAUACCACAGAAAAAUACGAGCCAUAGGUGUAUGACCCCCUUUGCCUGAUAUUCCGAGUACUAAAGGCAUCACAAGUAAGAAAACGUGUCACUAAAUAGAUGGCUGCUCCAAGGUGAAGUUUGAAGUAUGUGCAUUAAGCUUUGUAUUUGCGUUUGUUGCCAGGUUGUUGAGAAGAUGUUUAGAAUGCAGAAAAGUAGUAAUAAUAAAAUCAUCUAAGGACAACUGGUCUUUGGAGAAAGUUACUGGAGAUAAUCUUAGAUCUUUGUUUUUUUGUUUUGUUUUGUUUUGUUUUUCAAUAUGGAAUUAUAUACCAACUAGGUAUCGCUAUUGAUAACAUCAGUAUUGCUCUUUACUUGCCUUUCUGGAUCUGUGUGGUUGUUUUUGUGGCCAUUUCUUUAACAAUAGCAUAUGUUCAGGACAAAUAUAUUGCAAAAGAACACAUCUACUAUCGGCUUGCCCAAUUCCUUGUUAUUUUGCUUGUAAUAAUUGUCAUUGUUGCACUGUUCACCCACUUUAAAUUUGUUAAUCUCUUCACCAGUCUGCUGGCAUUUAUUCCCACUGGGUGGGGCCUGAUUUUAAUUACCUGGGUAUUUAGGCCAUUUCUGCAGCGCACUCCAGCAGGAGAGGCCAUUAUUUCCUUAACAUAGCCAUAUGAUAUUAUUUUUGGUGUGAUCAUCAUGGCCCAUGUGGCACUACUAUCAUGGAUAGUUUAGUAAUGCACUCCAACAGGGGAGGCCAUUCGUUCCCAUUGUUGUGCAUAUGGGACAGUUUAGGUGUUAAACAUGUUCUCAAAUUUUACCAUGUGCUACUUUCUUCUAGUGCUGGAGACAAGCCUUUCAGUAAACCACCCAGAUGAUGCAUUUUAAAAAGCCCUCAAAAUGGGUCUCUUCUUCUAAUUGCCUUAUGAGGAAGACUUAUCCAAAUAUGUUGAAUCUUUCAUAGGAAAAAUUAUACAUGGGAACAUGUAAUUAGAUAAUUGGAGAUAAAAUUUCUUCUUGAUAUUAGAUUAUUUUUCAAGACCAUAUAACUAUGAUUGCUAUUUUUUACAAUUUACAAAGUUAGGAUAUCUUAAUCUUGAAUAAGUGUCUAUCUCUUUAUCAUGAUAUUUGAACCUAUUUCUUCCUAUGAAUUUCCACUUAUGACAAUCACUCCUUUUACUUCCCUCUUGCAGGUUCCGUUUAAGCAUUGACAGGCAAAGCUUUUGUUACUGAGGA